ACCUCCGCCUCCUGCCGCUCGCCAUGUUCCUGGCUCAGCUGGGCCUCCAAUCCGCGACACGCCUCCUCCUGGCUGAGCAGCACCAUCUCGCGCCCACACAACGCCUCCUCCGCUGCCUCGGCCAGAUGCCUCUGGCUGCCGCACUCCUGCUUCCAGCUGGCCAGCUCACCCUGUAAGGUUUCCACUUACCUCUUGCCCAUCUAUAAUUCUAAGGGUCUUUUUUCCCCGUGUCAUGCUCUGAUUGCUGAUGUCCCAGGGGAAAAAUGAACCGAUUAAAGAGGAAAUAUACUCUCCUUGGUUCUGAUAAAAAAAUGGAGAUUCCUGCAAGAACAAAACAAUGGAAAAAAAGAUCUGUGAAGCACAGCACUGGGAAGAACUUAAAUAUAAGACUAACGAAGGGGCAAACAGGAGGCAGCUUGUGAGUGAUUAACAAGAGGGCAGGAAUGACAGAUGCUGCUGUAUGCCACCAUCCAGGGCCGAGAUGUCAGACAGAGCAAAAUCUAAAUCAGAGUGAGGUGAAAUGCAUACGGUAUGCAGAGUGGACAAACAGAAGCCAGUUAAACGGGAUAACAGACUCCUCUUCAUUUCUCGUUUUUUUCAUGUGUUCCGCACCUUAUUCUAAUAAGAGAAGAAACAAGAUGGACAGUUAAAUAGGGUAACAGACUGUUACUUUGGGUCUUUAUUUCUCUUCUUUCCUUCUUCUUCUGGACUGCCGGCUCAUGUUCAAACUUUGAUGACUGAAAGCCAAAUAAGUAACAAGUUUAACUGCGUUAUUAUAAGAUACUGUAUUUUAUAACCAUCACACAUAGAUGGAAACAUUUUUAUAUGUUUCAAAACAGAAUUAAAGAAAUUUCUUAAUUGAUUAUCCAUUAGUCUGUGGUAAUAUAUGGUAGUUAUAUGGUAAUAUAUUCAAGGCAAGUGAAGUAGGUCUUUACCGUCGUGUUUAACCAUACACAGUUAGUGCAGUAUGCAGUUAAAAAUUAAACAGACCACGGUGCUUCAUAUAUUGACACAAGACUAACAUAUAACAACCUAACAACGUAGAGAGCAUAGUGUGCUAUUGGUGCAAUCACUGCAGGACAGUGCAAAAAGACAGGACAACUG